CUCAUGCAUUGCACACCAUACUACACUUAAAUGCGAAUGGCUGCCCUAAAAUAAAUGAAGCUGCAGUUUAAGCCAGGCUCGGUGGUCCCAGAAGCAGAGCUGGCCUGCUGUGGAACAAUGGGGCCUUUGGCAGGAUGCUGGUUUCCUGAGUGUCCUGCUUGUACUUGGUGGUGAGAGGUUUGGAAUAGAAAUGACGCAUUGUUUCUCUCAUCCUUCUGAGUUGGAGCAGUGAAACAAUGCCUCUGGAUCCUCGCCCAGGAGGAUCUAACACAAAACAGGAAAAAACUGCUAUUUCUGCUCCACAGCCGGCUGCAUUUCUUCAGGCUUUGCUGAAAGCGAUGCAGCGGCUUAGAACAAAUGCUGAACUGCAAGGAUGAAGCUCUGUGAGGAUUUCAUAUGCAAGAAGAGCUGAAGAGGAUGUAUCAUUCUCAUGUCUUGGCAUCGCUGAUUUAUGUCACUGUUGUCAAACAAUAAGGUUUUGGUGAGCACCGACAUGUUGUGGAUGUCCAUGCAGCACCCAGUAACUUUUGUUUGAAAUAAAAAGGAAAUAACGCCCCCAAAUUUCCGGCUUUGACAGAACUCUCAGUGGCCUUGGAGGUUAACAGUUUCCUUAACAGAUUGCUGUUUUCAGACUCGAGCUUUAUUAGUGCUGCGUGUGUUAAACUGUGCAGAAGAGCGUCUGGGAUCUGAGCUUCCAUCAGAGAUACUGUAGUUAUCAUUGAGGCCUCUCCAGCAUCGCUAUCAGUGCUAUAAGCGUCCAGAGUUCAUUGGGUUGAAGAAGGGUAACUGCACUGAGGCACGCUUACAACAGAUGAACCUGCUGCUCCUUUUGCCUCAGUUCAACAACCAACAGACUGCCAGGACUCAAAUACUAACACCCCGCCGCUUUGCAUCUAAAGUUUACGAACACAGAUAUUCCUGAGCUGUUUCCUAUUUAAAAUUCUACACUUUGAGCCUUAUAUUUUCUUACAAUAUUCAGUUUUGACAAAUGAUUUGUAUACAGUCUAUAGUC
rnacentral:lncRNA from 1 species